UCUCACGUGCACAAAUGGCUAGUAGUUCGAAAUGUGAGGUGUUAUGCUGACAGAUCGUGGGAAUUGCGCUUUCUCUGCGAUCAGUUACCACACUGAGUAAGCAACAGUGGCUAGUGAAAGGAGAGCCCCAAUAUGGGGAAUGUUGGUUGCUACAAAUCGUUUUCUUUGCAGAAAUCGACUUUCUCGAGAAACAAUUGACUCCAGAAAAGCUUCACGUGAUGCAGUUAUUAUACAAGACGAUAGAGAUCAAGGAAUAUGAACAAUCCAGGACAUUUGUUGUUGUGAAUUCAGUUAAUAUGUAGUGAUUCUAGAUGAGUAACCUGGAUAACUUCCAUUAUUGCACCUGCCAGAAGACGAAUUACAUGUGUGGUUUAGGCAUAUGUCAUCUAUGUUUCGAUUAAUUAACAUUUUCUGGAUCUCGAUAAGUUCAUCUUUCGAGAUUCUCCACAGAAUUACACAGAAAGUGCCUUUUCUUUAGGGAGCUGCCGUGACCAGUUUUCUGAAGAAAUGAGUGAAAACUAAAUUAUUUGCAGGAUCUUUUGG